GACGAACGCUGGCGGCGUGCUUAACACAUGCAAGUCGAACGGAAAGGCCCUGCUUUUGUGGGGUGCUCGAGUGGCGAACGGGUGAGUAACACGUGAGUAACCUGCCCUUGACUUUGGGAUAACUUCAGGAAACUGGGGCUAAUACCGGAUAGGAGCUCCUGCUGCAUGGUGGGGGCUGGAAAGUUUCGGCGGUUGGGGAUGGACUCGCGGCUUAUCAGCUUGUUGGAGGGGUAGUGGCUUACCAAGGCUGUGACGGGUAGCCGGCCUGAGAGGGUGACCGGCCACAUUGGGACUGAGAUGAGGCCCAGACUCCUCCGGGAGGCAGCGGUGGAGAAUAUUGCACAAUGGGCGGAGGCCUGGUGCAGCAACGCCGCGUGCGGGAUGACGGCCUUCGGGUUAUAAACCGCUUUCGCCUGAGACGAAGCGUGAGUGACGGUAAUGGGUAAAGAAGCACCGGCUAACUACGUG
rnacentral:rRNA from 1 species